rnacentral:rRNA from 2 species
AGCGGCGGACGGGUGAGUAACACGUGGGCAACCUGCCUGUAAGACUGGGAUAACUCCGGGAAACCGGAGCUAAUACCGGAUAACAUUUUCUCUUGCAUAAGAGAAAAUUGAAAGAUGGUUUCGGCUAUCACUUACAGAUGGGCCCGCGGUGCAUUAGCUAGUUGGUGAGGUAACGGCUCACCAAGGCAACGAUGCAUAGCCGACCUGAGAGGGUGAUCGGCCACACUGGGACUGAGACACGGCCCAGACUCCUACGGGAGGCAGCAGUAGGGAAUCUUCCGCAAUGGACGAAAGUCUGACGGAGCAACGCCGCGUGAGUGAUGAAGGCUUUCGGGUCGUAAAACUCUGUUGUUAGGGAAGAACAAGUACAAGAGUAACUGCUUGUACCUUGACGGUACCUAACCAGAAAGCCACGGCUAACUACGUGCCAGCAGCCGCGGUAAUACGUAGGUGGCAAGCGUUAUCCGGAAUUAUUGGGCGUAAAGCGCGCGCAGGCGGUUUCUUAAGUCUGAUGUGAAAGCCCACGGCUCAACCGUGGAGGGUCAUUGGAAACUGGGGAACUUGAGUGCAGAAGAGAAAAGCGGAAUUCCACGUGUAGCGGUGAAAUGCGUAGAGAUGUGGAGGAACACCAGUGGCGAAGGCGGCUUUUUGGUCUGUAACUGACGCUGAGGCGCGAAAGCGUGUGGAGCAAACAGGAUUAGAUACCCUGGUAGUCCACGCCGUAAACGAUGAGUGCUAAGUGUUAGAGGGUUUCCGCCCUUUAGUGCUGCAGCUAACGCAUUAAGCACUCCGCCUGGGGAGUACGGUCGCAAGACUGAAAC